GUUUGAUCCUGGCUCAGGAUGAACGCUGGCUGUGUGCCUAAUACAUGCAUGUCGAACGAAGUACUUGUACUUAGUGGCAAAUGGGUGAGUAACACGUACCUAACUUGCCUUUUAGAUUGGGACAACCACGGGAAACUGUGGCUAAUACCAAAUAUGUAUAAUUAACAUAUGUUUUUUAUAUGAAAGGAAGCGAUUGCUUUGCUAAAAGAUAGGGGUGCGCUACAUUAGCUUGUUGGUAGGGUAAAAGCCUACCAAGGCUAUGAUGUAUAGUGGGAUCGAGAGGUUGAACCACCACACUGGGAUUGAGAUACGGCCCAGACUCCUACGGGAGGCAGCAGUAGGGAAUAUUCCACAAUGAGCGAAAGCUUGAUGGAGCGACACAGCGUGUAGGAUGAAUGCCUUAGGGUUGUAAACUACUGUUAUAAGAGAAGAAUAGCUAAAAAAGGAAAUGUUUUUAGUCUGACGGUAUCUUAUCAGAAAGCAGUUGCAAACUAUGUGCCAGCAGCAGCGGUAAUACAUAGACUGCAAGCGUUAUCCGGAAUUAUUGGGCGUAAAGCAUUCGUAGGUUGUUUAUUAAGUUUGGUGUUAAAAACAAAAGCUCAACUUUUGUUUGCAUUAAAUACUAAUAGACUAGAGUUAUAAAGAGGUUAAUGGAACUCCAUAUGAAGCGGUGGAAUGCGUAGAUAUGUGGAAGAACACCAACGGCGAAGGCAAUUAACUGGAUAUACACUGACACUGAGGGAUGAAAGCGUGGGGAGCAAACAGGAUUAGAUACCCUGGUAGUCCACGCUGUAAACGAUGUUUGUUAAUCGGUGGUGAAAUCACUGAUACAGCUAACGCAAUAAACAAACCGCCUGAGUAGUAUGCUCGCAAGAGUGAAACUUAAAGGAAUUGACGGGGAGCCGCACAAGCGGCGGAGCAUGUGGUUUAAUUCGAAGAUACGCGAAGCACCUUACCAACAUUUGGCAUCUUUUGCAAAGGCAUAGAGAUAUGCUGGAGGAUAACAAAAAGACAGGUGGUGCAUGGCCGUCGUCAGCUCAUGCCGUGAGGUGUUGGGUUAAGUCCUAUAACGAGCGCAACCCUUUUCUUUAGUUACUAACAUUUAGUUGAGCACUCUAAAGAUACUGCCUAGGUAACUAGGAGGAAGGAGGGGAUGAGGUAGGUCAUCAUGCCUCUUACAUGUUGGGUUACACACGUGCUACAAUGGCAAAUACAAAGAGAAGCAAAAUCGUGAGGUGGAGCAAAUCUGUAAAAUUUGUCUCAGUUCGGAUUGGAGUCUGCAACUCGACUCCAUGAAGUAGGAAUCGCUAGUAAUCCUAGAUCAUCAAUGCUAGGGUGAAUACGUUCUCGGCUCUUGUACACACCGCCCGUCAAACCAUGGGAGUUGGUAAUACCCAAAGCUAGUUAGUUAACCAUUUAUUUGGAGGCAACUAUCUAAGGUAGGAUCAAUGACUGGGGUUAAGUCGUAACAAGGUAGCC
rnacentral:rRNA from 1 species